AACAGAGAGCUGUAGUAGAAGAGCGUCGACAGAAGACUCUCCGGACGUAGAUUCCAGAGCAGCUUUGUUGCCGGAUUGGUUACGAGAUAGACCAACAAACAGAGAAAUGCCAUCUGAAGGAGGAACAUUAAAUGGCUCUUCACAAUUUGAUAUUGCCUGCUUCUGUAGCUUCACCUCCUUCAGGUCUUGCUUCUCCAUUUAAACCUGUUUUGGAUACAAAUUACUAUUAUUCAGCUGUGGAAAGAAAUAACCUGAUGAGGCUGUCGCAGAGUAUUCCCUUCGUUCCUGUACCUCCACGAGGUGAGCCUGUCACAGUAUAUCGUCUGGAGGAGAGUUCUCCCAGUAUACUGAAUAACAGCAUGUCUUCUU
rnacentral:lncRNA from 1 species